GGAUAUGGAAACUUGGCAUGAUUUAAGGGCGAUAAUUUAGGCUAGAUUUACUUUUAUUUCUAAAGGGGAACCUAGAUGAACAAUUUAGGCUAGAUUAUCUUUAUUUCUAAAGGGGUAAUGAGCUGAUUAGUGGUCUAUCUACCUAAAAUAAGUUACCUACACAUGUAUAAAUACCCAUCUUCCUCAUUCGGAAGAACACACACAACAUACGACACAACUCUCAACACUUAGAC
rnacentral:lncRNA from 1 species